rnacentral:rRNA from 1 species
CAGUCGCCGCGGUAAUACGUAGGGUGCGAGCGUUAAUCGGAAUUACUGGGCGUAAAGCGUGCGCAGGCGGUUGUGUAAGACAGGUGUGAAAUCCCCGGGCUUAACCUGGGAACUGCGCUUGUGACUGCACAGCUAGAGUAUGGCAGAGGGGGGUAGAAUUCCACGUGUAGCAGUGAAAUGCGUAGAGAUGUGGAGGAAUACCGAUGGCGAAGGCAGCCCCCUGGGCCAAUACUGACGCUCAUGCACGAAAGCGUGGGGAGCAAACAGGAUUAGAUACCCGGGUAGUCCCUGUCUCUUAUAC